GUUUGUGAGACAUCACAAUCGUGAAGAAAACCGCGUUGUUGAGGGAAUGCUGCGAAUCGCAUGGUCGUAGUUUUCAAGUUUUAGCUCUUGUUAAUUUGAUUGUUGUGAAAUCCACUCUGAAAGUUUUCAGCUGUUUCAGCUAUAGCUAAAAAGUUAACGUGUAAUUCGCCGAUAGGAUUUAACACAAGGCACUACCGAAGCGUCUUUAAUCUUUUGUUUGGCUGAAGGGGACCUGUUAGCCAGCUUGCUAAUUCCCGUAACCGUUAUUGUUAGCUAGUUUUGUGCUAACAUGUCUGCCGGUGUAGUUCGAGGACCAGCAGGGAGUAACGACUGUCGGAUAUACGUAGGAAAUCUCCCACCUGACAUCCGCUCAAAGGACAUUGAAGAUUUGUUUUACAAAUAUGGAGCAAUUCGUGAUAUUGAUCUGAAAAACCGAAGAGGAGGGCCACCGUUUGCCUUCGUGGAGUUCGAGGACCCGAGGGAUUCUGAGGAUGCUGUUUAUGGGCGUGAUGGUUAUGACUAUGAUGGCUACCGCCUGCGUGUUGAGUUUCCUAGAAGUGGAAGGGGAGGUGGUGGUGGUGGUGGUGGUGGAGGAGGAAUGGGACCUCCAAGGACCAGGUAUGGUCCUCCCUCCAGACGCUCAGAGUACAGGGUUGUUGUGUCAGGUCUUCCCCCAAGUGGAAGCUGGCAGGACCUAAAGGAUCACAUGCGAGAGGCAGGUGAUGUAUGUUAUGCUGAUGUUUACCGCGAUGGCACCGGAGUGGUGGAGUUCGUACGCAAAGAAGACAUGACCUACGCUGUCCGUAAACUGGAUAACACUAAGUUUCGCUCUCACGAGGGAGAAACAGCCUACAUUCGUGUGAAGAUGGACGGUCCUCGCAGCCCCAGCUAUGGUCGUUCCCGCUCUCGUAGCCGCAGCCGGAGCAAGAGCAGGUCACGCAGCUACUCCCCUCGUCGCAGCAAAGGAUCUCCACGUUACUCCCCUCGACGUUCCCGCUCCCGCUCUCGCUCGCGCACUUAGAUUCGCCAAAACUAAAGCAGUGGUGUACCUCAGAGCCAGAGAGGACAUCUUCAGAUCACUCAACAAAUCUGUAAACCCUCCAUGGAAAAUCUCACGUGUUACCUGUUUAUGCUGUCUCGGUGUGUUCCCUAUUCCCAAAUUUAUUUAUUUUUUCCCAGUUUUCUUUUUAGCUUUUAUUUUUACAGAUGACCCUGUCAUUCUUCCUUUUUCCCUCUCCUCAUCACUGUUUUUCCUAACCAUCUCUGCACCUUCUCUAUACUUUCCUUCUACUGAUUUUCCUUGUAUGCUUUAUGUUUUGCUUCAUUUGGAAAGAUUCUACUUUUUAAGCAUAUGCUGCUGUCCUUUGACCUUCUUGUGUGUCUCUCUGUAGAGUUCAGAGGAACAGGAUAGGAUGGGAAGAGAGGAAUCAGUUCAUAUUAGGAUAAACAGGAGGAGGAGGAGUCAUAAAUGGCACCAAUGGUUUGGACUGGGCUCAUUGUCUCCCCAUUCCGGAACCGGAUCAGAUCAGGAUCAGGAAUU